rnacentral:rRNA from 1 species
UACGUAGGGUGCGAGCGUUAAUCGGAAUUACUGGGCGUAAAGCGUGCGCAGGCGGUUAUGUAAGACAGGUGUGAAAUCCCCGGGCGUCAACCUGGGAACUGCGCUUGUGACUGGAAGACUAGAGUAUGGCAGAGGGGGGUGGGAAUUCCACGUGUAGCAGUGAAAUGCGUAGAGAUGUGGAGGAACACCGAUGGCGAAGGCAGCCCCUCGGG